rnacentral:rRNA from 2 species
CCCAUACCGAACACGGAAGUUAAGCUCUCUAGCGCCGAUGGUAGUUGGGACCUUGUCCCUGUGAGAGUAGGACGUCGCCAAGCA